rnacentral:lncRNA from 1 species
UGCUCGUCUAGAUGCCAGAGGAGGCAGGUGUGAAUAGAGUGGGGGCGGGCAAGAUGCUAGACGGGGAAAAUGUUCAACAUAAAUAUGUUUACAAUUUUCUUACAAUGUGCUAUACUUCAAAGGAGAUGAGGCUUUCAGAGCAUCUGGGGUCUUCCCUUUGAGAGAGAGAACAGGCUUGGUUUUUGGAGCACUAUGGAUUAUACCCCUUCCACUUAAAUGGCCACUUUCCUUUCACUCAGAUUCAUCCCUCGUGAAGAUGGAGAAGACAAGUUCACGUCCUGGUUCUCAAGGCUUGUGAGUGGGCAUAGAUUUGCCAGAAAAAGCAAGUUAGGUGCCGUGCUAGGGGUGUGUGUGGUGAAGCCAGAGAAUACGCAGGAAGCUUGUGUCGACUUCGUGUUCAGCCUUCACUCUUCUCCUUGGGCCAAGCUCGUGAUGACUUUGUCUCUCCCUUUCUGGUCCUGGCGACGUUACCAUCUUUCAUCUCUCCGGUGUGCAGGCCCUGCUCUCCAGAAUAGAGCUGAGGUAAAAUUCACAUUAUAUAAAGUCCAUCAUUUGUCGACUCGUCCUGGGGUACCACUGUACCACUGUCUCUCCGCCCCAAACAGAAACCCCAUCCCUGCCAGCAGUUGCUCUGUUUCCUCUCCUCCCAGCCCUGGAAACCAGCAGGCUGCUUCUGAUCUCUGCUCUGAGCACAUGCAUAUGUACACUUGUUCUCAUGGCUCCUGAAUUACACCCAGAAGAGGAAUGGUGGGGCAUGAGAUCUCAGGCCCACGGGUGUACCUAUGGCUCCUAGAUGAGAUGUAAGACCAGGUUUGAAUACAAAUGAAGAUCUGCAAACCCAGACUGAGCUUUCAUCACCGAAACAAGAAAAAUAAACACA